AGUAUGUCAACAGUGGCUCCUCAGUCGUUGCAGGACUAUUAAUGAUGCCUAUAAAAUUAUUCAGACGUCCUGAAACGCUCCAACAACAAAGGAUUUAAGCUGGAUGUGUCAAAACUUCACAAUAACUUCGAAGUUGGAGUUGGACAGGAGUUCUGUUGGAUGGCUUCCUGGAGGGAUGAAUAGGCCAAGCUAAUGUUGCCAUCAACUUUUCUCCUGCUAUUAACUUUUUUUUUUUUUUUACUUUUCUUUAUAUAGAAAGUAUUUCUAUCAGUUAGUCUUUUUCCGUUUUGUAUACAUUAUUUGCUCUAUUUUUUAUUUUUAUUUUUACCUUAAUAAAAAGGUGAGGUGGAAAUGUACAUCCUCUUGAUUACUGACAAAUGUCAGAACCACAUGGACUGAGCUGGUUACGUCAGAUCAAUCGGAAUCUUUAUUUCUCAUUAAAAUAUCUUGUAAUUUUAAGACAUUGUUAUAAAAUUGCAUCUUUAUUCUGCUGUAACGAUGACUGCAAUCUUGCAAUUAAAAUUUCUUGUAUCCUGACCAUAAUGCUCCCUUAUACAACUCACAGAACAGAUGGUUGAAAUAAAGGCACUUUUUGAAAGUAUUUUCUGUGAUUUUAUUAUAGAAAUUGAGGAUGGGAGGAAUCGAUUAAAAUCAAAUCUGGUAUGAAAAAAAUCUUGUAAAUCAUAUCAUCCAGCCUUACUCAGUAUAUUAAAUUAUAUGACUAACUACAUAUUACUUAAUAUUCACAUUUCUUUGCUGGUAUUACCUAAAAGUGUUGCAUUUUAACAUCUCACUUGAAUUCCUGAUCUACAUGCAAAUACUUGAUAAAAUGUAAACACAGAGAAAAGGGAAAAAAAGGUUUGUGAAAUGUAGAGUAUUACAAAUGAGAUUCAAUUUUAUUGUAGGUAAAAACAGGAUAGCAAAAUGAACAGUGAAUAUAUAAUAUACUUCCUAGCAGCUAAUCAGACAUCAGACUUGUUUGCCUUUACUGGUAAUGAAAACUCAUCACUCUGGAGGAGAGGAAGACCGGCUCAGCCCCGUCCAGGAUGACUGCAGUGUCAGGGAAGCAAACAAAGUCUGCAGGAAGAUUUUUGCAUAUCUGGUGCUCCGGUUUCCAGAUCAUAGUUUAACCAAGUAAAUAAAAAGUUGGUCCACGUUGUGAUGAUCCGGCAGACCGUGGACUGAUGGACGCCGUCAGCUGGUCCAGGUGCUUGGAUCCAAUGGAAAGGUAAUCGGCACUGUGAUCAUGGCUCAGAAACACGAGGUGUUGCGAUGCAAACCUGAAAAAUUAAAAACAAACAAAAAA